UGGGGAAUAUUGGACAAUGGGCGAAAGCCUGAUCCAGCAAUGCCGCGUGAGUGAUGAAGGCCCUAGGGUUGUAAAGCUCUUUCGCACGCGACGAUGAUGACGGUAGCGUGAGAAGAAGCCCCGGCUAACUUCGUGCCAGCAGCCGCGGUAAUACGAAGGGGGCUAGCGUUGUUCGGAAUUACUGGGCGUAAAGCGCACGCAGGCGGUCCGUUAAAUUAGAAGUGAAAGCCCUGGGCUCAACCCGGGAAUUGCUUUUAAGACUGGCGGACUAGAAUCCGGAAGAGGGUAGCGGAAUUCCCAGUGUAGAGGUGAAAUUCGUAGAUAUUGGGAAGAACACCGGUGGCGAAGGCGGCUACCUGGUCCGGCAUUGACGCUCAUGUGCGAAAGCGUGGGGAGCAAACAGGAUUAGAUACCCCCGUAGUCC
rnacentral:rRNA from 1 species